GACCUCAGUUCAGGUGAGAUUACCGGCUGAAUUUAAGCAUAUUACUAAGCCGAGGAAAAGAAACUAACAAGGAUUCCCCUAGUAGCAGCGAGCGAACAGGGAAGAGCCCAGCGCUGAAUCCCCCGGGCCUCGCUCGGCGGGAAAUGUAGCGUUUGGGAGGGCCCGUCAACACGGCGACUCGCUCACUGGUUCAAGUCCAACUUGAAUGGGGCCACACAGAGGGUGACAGGCCCGUAGAGCAGGAGCGGUUGUCGUGUGGGUCUCUCCUUAGAGUCGGUUUGCUUGAGAGUGCAGACUUAAGUGGGUGGUAAACUCCAUCUAAGGCUAAAUAUGACCACGAGACCGAUAGCACACAAGUACCGUGAGGGAAAGGUGAAAAGAACUUUGAAGAGAGAGUUCAAGAGUACGUGAAACUGAAGUGGUGUAAACGGACGAGUUCGAAAAGUCCGAAUGGUGAGAUUCAAGCUUACCGUGCCGGUGGCCCUCGGGUUCAGAUGGCGUCGUCAGCUCGGGCUUCGGUUCGGGUCAUACGGCGUCACUCGUCCUGGGGGUAUCUGUCUGGUGCGGUGGGCUGCACUUCUCGCCUAGUAGGACGUCGCGACCCGUUGGGAUGUUCCGUUCACUGGCCCUCGGUGGAGCCCGCGCCGGAGCGUGGCCUUGUGCCGCGUUGCUGUUUGCACGGACCCGGGGUGACCUGAUCGGCGCCCGACGGUAUCAAAGCUUGGGAAGAGGCCGCACAGAGGAUGCGUUCGAUGGCCGUUUCGGCCUACACUCGGACAGGCCUGCACCCGGUCAGC
rnacentral:rRNA from 1 species